UUUUUCUCUUUUUUUUUAAACCCUUUGCUUUGCUGUAACAUUUUCGUUUCACUCAUUGUACACGUUUGUAUACGUGCUGAUAUUCAGCUUAUACGUGUUAAUUCUCCACUGCUAUCUCCGUUUAUCUCCAAUCCAGAGAAUCACCGCCUCUAUCUACAAGCAUCCGAUCGAUGUUCACAACCCAGGCGUACCUUCACAUCUUCUCUACCUCCAUCGGCGACUUUCAACGACAUUAUUCCUCUCCCCUCGAUCCUUUCUCACUGCCAUUGCGACCACCGCCCGGUGGUCUCUCCUCCACCAUUUACCCAAGAUGAUCACAAUGGACAUCACCGCCGCCCUACGCAUUGUCUACCUCCUGCAAACAUGCGCAAAAUUAACUAAAGUACCACCACAUCAUCUACCUCCUGCAAAGGUUCGCAGUACCGGAUUCGCUAGAGCCAUAUGCCAACAUCGACAUCGGAAGACCACAACUUGCAACAGGUUGGUUCGUCUUCUCCAUCAAUUUUCUGGAUCAAGUUUAAUGCAUCUGCUCAAUCUGAUGUUUCUAUUUUCAUUGUCUUCUACUUCUACCAUUGUUUCCCAAGAAAGCCCAAACAUUGAUUUCUUAGAGAUGAUUAGCAAUCGAUUGUUCUUUUAUUAUUUCUGCCAAUGGGGUUGUCACUAAAAACCAAGAAGCUGAAGCCUUGAAGAAAAAGAAUGAUGCCACUAAGAAUCCUAAACCAUCCAACCAAUUCCCUAUUCCCAUAUGCUUGGUGUGAUUUUUUUCUUUGCCUUUUGCUUUUGAUGAGUUUCUUUUAUGGUUAUGUAUAUGAUUUUUACAAAUUGAAAGACCACAAAUCGUUCAAAGAUUCAUGGGAAAUCGCAUCCUUCACUAUUGAGGUAUCUCUCUCUAAUUUAUCUAUCUAUUUCUGUUUUUCAAAUUUUGAUGGCAGUCUUGGUGAUGGAUCAGAAUAUGAAAACCUCUAGCGGUGUUGCUUUGGAGACCUGAAUCUAAAUUAAUUUAUUAAAGGACUUCAUGGCGGUCGAUUGUGAUUGACUGAAACAGUAGGGUUUUAGAAGGUAGUUGCAGGAGGGUUUGAUUGUCGAUUAGCAUCUUCUUCUCAGAUUAUGUGACCCAUUUGUAAUUAGAGUGUAAAAUCUUUCAGUUCUUUAGCUGUGGGAGUUUCACAAAACCAUUAGGAAAAUGGAGAAUAGGCUGAAUCUCAAGGCAAUGGAUGCAGAGCAACUAAGACAACAUGGGCACAAGAUGAUUGCUUUCAUUGCGAAUUACUACAAAACUAUAGAGAGUUUCCCCGUUCUUAGCCAUGUUGAGGUUGACCACUAUUCUCACCUUUUUUGUUCAUGGUAGUUCACCCUUUGCAAGUAUUCAGAACCUGUUAAUUUAUCAGCCAGGAUAUCUGCGGAAGACUCUUCCCGAUUCUGCACCAAUUAGAGGUAAACAACUCAUGUUUAUUGCUGGUACAUUAUUUAUAGAAUAGUUAAUCUCCGGAAAUUUAAAUUCCAAAUUGGAUGUAUUGUUUUCUGUAAUCAUCAUACUCUUGGAAUACAAAGAUUGGGUUUAUGUA